UUCUAGAAGGCCCAUCUCUAAACCCUAACCCUAGCCGCACCUUAGGCCUGCCUUAUUCCCACUAAAAAUCUGAUUGUUUUAACCUAAUUUCUGGUGGAUUUGGGCUUCUAGAAACCCUAAUCUGAUUGCUAGGGUUUUGAAGUGCCUAUAUAUACUCAUUAAACCCUUUUGGCCGGAGAGAUCACCUCCCAUAUACAUCAUUCACGUCAGAAACAAAGAGGCUCUCUUUGCCGCACCUUUCCACCACCAUAUUCCAUAUUUUCUGCCCAAAAUCAUCCCUAGCCGCACCACCCAUCAACCCUACACCUUUCCAUACCAUUCCCCAUCCAUUCUACACCAUAAAUACCACCCAAAAACCUGUUCUAAACUUCUCUGCCGUAGCAAGGAGGAAGGAGAAUUCUUGGAUGCGCUUGCUGCCAAGUUGGAGCGUUCUAGGUGUUUUCUUUCUUUGGAUUUUAAUUUCUAAAUUUAUGUAUCUUUGCUUUCCGAGUAUGAGGAACUAAACCCCCCUUGGCUAGGGGGGGGAUUCGAAACCAUGUUUAUGCUUGCUAUAUGAUUUGAUUACUUCUAAUUGCGUUUCAUAAGUUGUGAAUUCAAUUUACUUAUCUACAAGAAUUAAAACUGGUUUGUGUAUGUUGGUUGAGGGUCGACACUUAAUUUGCAUGCAUGAAUUUGAUGCUAGGAU
rnacentral:lncRNA from 1 species